UAGACUGGUGAGAGGUUAUUGUAUCCUCC
rnacentral:piRNA from 1 species